rnacentral:tRNA from 1 species
GGGAAAGUAGCUCAGUAGGUAGAGUGCUUAGAUGAUGAAUCAAGAGGUCAAAGGUUCGAGCCCUUUCUUUUCCA